rnacentral:rRNA from 1 species
AGAUUGAACGCUAGCGGGAUGCUUUACACAUGCAAGUCGAACGGCAGCGCGGACUUCGGUCUGGCGGCGAGUGGCGAACGGGUGAGUAAUAUAUCGGAACGUGCCCAGUAGCGGGGGAUAACUACGCGAAAGCGUGGCUAAUACCGCAUACGCCCUACGGGGGAAAGGGGGGGAUUCUUCGGAACCUCUCACUAUUGGAGCGGCCGAUAUCAGAUUAGCUAGUUGGUGAGGUAAAGGCUCACCAAGGCGACGAUCUGUAGCUGGUUUGAGAGGACGACCAGCCACACUGGGACUGAGACACGGCCCAGACUCCUACGGGAGGCAGCAGUGGGGAAUUUUGGACAAUGGGGGAAACCUGAUCCAGCCAUCCCGCGUGUGCGAUGAA